UACGUAGGGGGCAAGCGUUGUCCGGAAUUAUUGGGCGUAAAGAGCGCGUAGGCGGUCCGAUAAGUCGGCUGUGAAAGUCAGGGGCUCAACCCUUGAAAGCCGGCCGAUACUGUCGGACUAGAGUCCGGAAGAGGCAAGUGGAAUUCCCGGUGUAGCGGUGAAAUGCGUAGAUAUCCGGAGGAAUACCAAAGGCGAAGGCAGUGUCCUGGCUGGUAACUGACGCUCAGGUGCGAAAACUAGGGGAGCGAACAGG
rnacentral:rRNA from 1 species